GCAACGCGCAACGUAACAAUCCCUACAGUGAGACCGGUCGCAAACAUGCAUAAUAGCCAUGAGAGUGACAAAAGGCACACCUCAUAAUAAAGCAUAGCCAGUCGACUGCAGUAUUGAAACAUUCAUAGAAACAAUCAUUGAAACCGCAGAAACUUCACACCAUGCCAACAAACACAGGGUAUUGUAGAGAAUUGCAAGUUUCACAAAACUCAAACAGUACAAAAAAGGAAAGUAAACUAACAAUUCAAGAGAACAUUAAUGAAUGAAUGAAUGAAUGAAUAAAGGAAGAGAGAAACAACAGAAUACCAGCAAGUAUGAGUAAGGUAAAGUAGAAUAAGCCAUAGAAAGCUCAAAUUCAGAGAUGUGGUGACGGAUGACAAAUUAUUUACAAAGACAUAACCCCAAUAUGUCAGAGCCACAAAGUGUCAAAACCAGCAUGCAAGGACUAGUUGAAAGGAACAGAUUAUCAAUUAAGAUAGCUGAAUUGCAACUCAAAAGGAAGGAAAGAAAAGAAAAAAGAAAGGAAAGGAAACAAGAAACAACACACCGUCACACCAUCAUGAGAGAGCUAUACCAUUACCAGAGAAAGACGUCAUGAAUAAAUUGAAUUAAAGAAUAUCAAAGAAGAAUAUGAAAAUGUACAAUGAAUACCUAAGGAUAUACAGGCGACAAACCCGGAAUCAAGAAGUCAAAAGGCGAUAAUGAAAUAAAAUAGAUAGCGAUAACAGCGAUAACAGUGAUAACGUGCACAAUAAAAUAAAAUAUAAGAUAACUAAAUGGAAGCAACCAUAAAUAUAUAAACAUAUUAAUAUUAAUAUCAUCUACAACUAUUUGUACCAUCAUGAAUAUCAAAAUAAGCUAAAUCAUAUCAAUUACUUUAAUUCAAUUUGAUUAAGAAUGACUGAAAGAAUGAGCGACAGAACAGUGAAGUAAUUAAUUAAAGAUAUUAAAGAAGAAUGAGAUAAAUAAUAAGGCAUAAAGUAAAAAGUGAAAGCCGUAACCAACAACAUAAUGUAAAAGAAUGUAAUGUAAUGCAAUGUAAUGUAGUGUAGUGUGGUGUGGUGUGGUGUGGUGUGGUGUAAUGUAAUGUAAUGUAAAGAAAAUGAAAAAAUAAUAAAAUAAAAUACCAAAUACAGGAAUUGAACUAAACAGAAUAUACUGUAACCGCAAAAAUUAUUAUCCACAAUUACUCCAUUUCUUAAUCAAAGUAGAUUAUUAGCUAAAUCAUAAAUAGUAAAUGAUAAAUGAUCAUGUCAAUGCAAAUGCAAAAAGAACCAAUUAUUGAAUGAGAACCGAUUAUUGAAUGACGUAUCAAGAUAGAUAACUAAAGUAACAAAAUCAAAUCAAGCAUUAACUACGUAGUUCGAAUAGAAACUAAAAACUAGAAACUGAUUACCAAAUGAAGUACCAGGAUAGAAUGAAUAAAAGCAACAAAAUCAAAUCAAAUAUACACUACGUAGCUAAAUUAAACACCACACUACUGUAUAGUUGAACAACAAGUAAGCAAGUCUGAUAUUUAAUAGCCAAACCAGUAUCAAUCAGUUAUAAAUAGACAUUUGAACAGACAAAACCAUUCAUUAUUACAGAAAGAACGAUAAAUCAAUAAUCAAAUCCAUUGACCUUAAUUAAUCAAAGUGAAAAUGAAUAAAUAGUGAAUAAAUACUGAACGCGAGCAAAACAGUUGAAGAAAUUAAGAAAAAGAAAUUAAAAAAAUUAAGAAAAUAAAGAAAAUGUAAAGUGUACAGUGUAAUGUGUACGCAAAUAUAACCAGCACAAUAUACUGUGAUAUAAAACAAAAUAAAAAUAGAAUAAGAUACAGUGAAGAUACAGUGAAGUGAAUUCCAACAAUGUAACCAUAGAUAUGCAUAGAUAAUAUAAACCAUAGAAUAGACAAAUUCAGAGAUGCGGGUAAGAAUUUACAGAGAUAUAACCUUAACCCUAAUGUGUCAAAACAAGGAGUGUCAACAGGAAACAAGACCAAUGUAAGAAGACUCGUUAAGAAUAAGAACAAGAACAAGAUUAAUUAAGAAAGCCUAAUUGUCAACUAAAUGAAAAGAAAGAAACAAACAAGAAACACCGCAAUAUAGCACCAUCAUGAAAAGGACUAUGCCAACACCUCAGAGGUGUCAUGAAUAAAUUAAAUUAAAUUAGAUUAGAGAAUAUCAAAGAAUAUUCAAAUAUCCAAGGUCGCAUAACAGGUGACAAGACAGAAUGCAGCAAUAAUACAGUAGUGACAAGCGUGGCACAAGUUUAAAUAUAGUAAGUAGAAGCAAAAGCAGACAGCAAUAAAGAAAUAUAAUAAAAGAAUGCGAGGAAGUGUAUCACAAGAGAAAAUAACAAGGAAGAAAGAAAACAAGAAGGAAAAAACAGGGCCAAUAUCGAAUAACAGUAAAAUCAAGAGUAACGCAUGUAAGGAACAUAACAAAAGAAGCAAUGUAUAAAUAAAUAAAUAAAUAAAACCAA